rnacentral:rRNA from 1 species
GAUGAACGCUGGCGGCGUGCCUAACACAUGCAAGUCGAGCGAACAGACGAGGAGCUUGCUCCUCUGACGUUAGCGGCGGACGGGAGAGUAACACGUGGAUAACCUACCUAUAAGACUGGGAUAACUUCGGGAAACCGGAGCUAAUACCGGAUAAUAUAUUGAAUCGCAUGGUUCAAUAGUGAAAGUCGGUUUUUCUGUCACUUAUAGAUGGAACCGCGCCGCAUUAGCUAGUUGGUAAGGUAACGGCUUACCAAGGGGGCGAUGCGUAGCCGACCUAGGAGGGUGAUCGGCAGCAGGGGAGCUAGGAAGCGGACCAACCUCGGACGGGAGACAGGGGUAGGAAACCUACGGGAGGGAGCGGAGGCGUACCGGGGCAACGCGGCGAGAGUGAGAAAGAUCUACGGAGCGUAAAACACUGUUAUUUGAGGAGAACAAUGUGUAAGUACCUAUGCACAUCUUGACGGUACCUGAUCAAAAAGCCACGGCUAACUACGUG